GUACAAGAAAGAAGAUGAACUGAAUAAGAAAAAGAAAGCUAUUGGAGUGGGUCCUACACGUAAAAACCUGGAUUUUAGGGGGGUGUGGCUUCUGAGUAAUUGUAUUGCUAUUUACUAAAAUAAUUCAACAACAUCCAAACGUGGCUUACAUCCACAUUUUCAUGUCUCUCUCACACACACACUCAUUUCUCCAUUGAGCUCCCCCACUAACUUUGUUUCAGUUUUUUUCUUUUUCUUUUUUUUUUUUCCCAAAGUUUUUCUCUCUGUCUAGAAAGGAAAAAGAAAAAAAAAUCUAUAGCAUUGUCUAAAAACAGUUGCAACUUUUUGUUGAGUUAGAUUUUAGAGAGACAUUGUGGUUAUAGUAAUUUUUCUUACUUGUUUUUGUUUUUUAGUGCUUCCUUUCUGUUGUUUUUAUCUCUUGUGUGUUCCUGGUUAGCUACUCUUUUUCUUGAAGAUAAGCUCUAAAUUGGAGGGUAUCUAAAGUGUUCUGCUUUCUUGGGAAUCAGAGUGUGAUUUUGGAGUUGAUUUCUGUUCUUGGAUCCAUUUCUUCUGUUGGGUACAGAAGAUGGAUAGAGAAGUUGUCUGCCAUUAGUGUGCUUUAUUAGAUAGAAGGCUCAAGAUGGAAGAUACAUUAGCUGGUGCUAAAAGAGGUGGCCAUUCUAGAGAAGAUUCAUCAUCUUAUAGCUUCAACCAUGAUGAGGGAGUAUUGGGUGACGAUGAAUUACAUUGUUCAGAAUCAAGAUCAAAAAGGUUGGUGAGAAGGGUAAAUUCACAAAACACUCUGGUUUCAAAAUUUAAGCAAUUACAACGAAGUAGAAGUUAUAUUAAGGAAUCAUUCCUUCGAAGCAUUCGUGUCUUGGAUAAUUGGAUCCCGAAGCAUAUGGUAACUGUAGAUGAGAAAUAUCUUCGUCGUUGCCUAGAAAUUAUUCACGUUAGCACUUCAAAAGAAGUCCCUCGUGACCUCUCCCUAAACUUAGGAUGGGGAGAAAUGGGUGUUUUGUCUGAUGGCUUGAGUCCAGCUAAAAUUGGGAGUGAAAAUACAUGUGAUUUUACUAGGUUUCAUUUUGACUGUCCGUUGGCAUCUGGGGAUGGCAGUGUAGUCAUUAGCCCUGCAGGACAUUGGAUUGUUGGUUCUAUCAUGGGUAGCAAGAGUAUGGUAAAUAUACUCAACAGCCCUUUGUUUCGCAAAUAUGGUGCAUAUGAUGGUGAUGCCAAUUUUGAGAAAGUUAGCUUCAGUGAUGUUGAUGGAUCAAUUUGUUAUAAUUUUAUGAACUCUCCAAGUGUGUUAGGUAGUUAUUCAUCAAACAAGCUAUAUAAAGAAACACCAAUUCCAGGAAAACAGAGAUAUAGAUCUGAGACUCUGAAUGAAAGGCCUGUUUCUAUGUCAAGUACAAACUCUACAUGUUCUGAUCAGUCUUCUUCUUCUCUCUCUGGGACUGUUAGUCAAGGAAUGCUCCAAUGCACGUGGGAAGAUGGGAACCCGCAUUUUGUUUUCUCAUUGGAUGAUCAAAAGGUGGUUUAUGUGGCCAACUUGUGGAAUAGUCAGUUGGCAGAUGAUAUAGUUGUGGACUAUACGUAUCUAUUCCAUUUAAGAAAGGGUGAUCAAAAGGAAAGUGAGAUUCAUGAUACUGAGUCUCACCUUGUAGGUAAGAUGAAAGUAUCAACUUCAUUUUCCCUUUGUCAGAACAAUUCCAAAAUCAUGGAGAGAGAGUUCAUUUUAUUUGGCAGUAAUGAAAAUGUUAAACGAAUGCAAACUUCAAGCCAUGACCUCAGGAAGAAUAAAGGACUGUCAAAGAAGGUGGCAGAAGUGUUCCGGACCAGUCACUCAAUGAAGAAGAGAACUAUUUCCAGAUUAACGGGAUCAAGUGCCAUACUAGAGAGUUGUUCUUGGGAGCCACUCCAAGAUACAGAGAACAACAUCGAUGCACAUUCUGGGGUGAAUCUCUUAGAAAAACAUCUUCCUCCAAAUCUUGAAAUGGCUGCCAUUGUUGUGAAGGAACAUAUUCCUGAGAAACGUAGGGAGAAAGGUGGAGGCUGGGGCUUGAAUUUUCUCAAGAAAUCAAGUGCCAAGCAAACUACUGAUCUGAUGGAAUCCUCACAACAUUAUGGUUCUUGUGCAAGAAAUACUGGGGACUGUUCGACGAGCAUUGAUAUUCUAAUUCCAGUUAGUCUUCAUGGUGGUCCAAGAACCAGAAAUGGCGGUCCUUCUGGUCUUACUGAAAGAUGGAAAUCAGGGGGAUGCUGUGAUUGUGGUGGCUGGGAUCUAGGGUGUCCACUAACAGUGCUUAAGAGCAGAUUGAGUAACAAAGAGCUUUCACCCCAAGCAGACAUGCAGGGAGAGUGCAAGUUAAUUGAUUUAAUCACACAGGGUUCAGAGAACAGUGCCCCCCAGAUGCGUAUGGUCAACGUCCAUGAUGGCUUGUAUUUUGUUCAUUUUCAGUCAACCCUGUCAGCUUUGCAGUCUUUCUCAAUUGCAGUGGCAUUUAUUCACAGCCAGAGUCCCACUCUCCGACCAGAUAAUGUACAGGAGUAAAAGUAGCAAAAUUCAGUGUUGAGGUUUAUGUAGUUGUUGUAACACGCUUACUGUAUUACAGCACUUUACAAGAAGACUGAUGUAACCAACUCUUUCUUGAUCGAGUUUGGAAGAAAAUUGGGAAGGAGAUUCUGAGCAUAGAUACUGCUUAUGAAGAAGUCACAGUGUGAAUUUGUUCAAUCCAUUGAUCAUUUUUUAAAUGGGAAUGACAAUAAUCCUUUUUUGGCUAAUGAUGAUCAUUGCUAGUUUUGAAUUCUGACCUUUCAUUAUGUGGCCUCUUGCGUUUGAAGGUAAUUCUAAAUUUCUUUUCUUGCACCUCUUAUAUUCAUCGUGGAGCUGUUUUCCUUGUAAUGAUAUCCUGCAGAGAAUAGGUAUCAAUCUAAGGGCUCUUGUUGCAGACGAAAAGUAUUGUCCUAAUUGCUAGUUUGCAUUUGACUUGGUGGAAGCAUACAAGAAUUAUCUAUCUGGGUCAUUUCAGGUCACUCUACCAGCCUACCUCUAGUCAAUGGCAAAAGCUAAGUUUCUGAGUUCUCAAUAAGGUUGUGGUCACUAGUGGUUCGCUUUUUUCAACUUAAUUCUAUAUAAUUCUGUUGUUUCCUUGUACUAUUUUUCUAUUGUAAUCACAUGUUUUGAUGGAUAUGUGCUAAUAAUAACUUGCUUUAUGUGGACGGAGUAAGAUAUAUUGAUUGAUAUGUCAAGGGAGAACAGGGAAAGAUUCCAACUCUUAUUCUUCAUCUGCAUGUAGUAUAUGCAGUACAAUAUUACCUUCAACUGUGAUUUGUUUUACAUGCUGCUUUAGAUUUGUUUGGGUUGUCAUGUCGGUUCUGCUCCAAAACCAACUUCAAGCGGUCAUGGUAAGCUCACAGCUCUUCCUGUUAUUUUUCAAUUAGGUUUUAAAUUAAGAUGCCCAAUGAAUUUCCUAAUAAUCCAGCUCACUAGAAAUGAGAAGAAAAAAGGAAGAAUGGUUCUUCUUGUUUACUGGAAAAUGUGAUGCGCACUGUUUUCCUUGACAGUGAUUGGAUAUAAUCCUGCAAUGUUAUUCGCUGGACUGAUCUCAGAAGAUGGUUUGAACUUUCUGUCACAUUAUCUUGCAAUGUAGUUUCAUGGUACUUUAUCUGCACUUUAGGAAUCUUAGUCCUCCAGCAUCGCUCGUAGAUUCAUCAUGAUCUGCUGCAACGGCUUGAAUAUAUCAGGCGUUCACGAAAAGGGUUGAAUUAUCAAAUUGUAUAAUCAUUGCCUUCUACGAUCAUUUCAUAUGUUCUGAAAACUGAUGAAAGUGUAAUUUAUCUCAUUUCUGAAACAAAUUUAGGAAAUGCUGUAUUUCCACUACUUGUUUAGUCAUUUUUUUCACCUGUGUUAGACUCAUGAUUGCUUUGUUGAUAGACGAGGUCAAGCUGUGUAUAUUUUUCAUUAUAAGUAAAUGUCUUGACUUCCA